GUGCUCACUUCAGCAGCAAAUAUACUAAAACUGGAAUGAUACAGAGAAGGUAUUAGCAUGGCCCCUGAACAAGGAUGACACACAAAUGCAUGUUCUACGUUUUU
rnacentral:snRNA from 1 species